rnacentral:rRNA from 1 species
AUUGAACGCUGGCGGCAGGCUUAACACAUGCAAGUCGAGCGGAGCGGCGGACGGGUGAGUAAUGCUUAGGAAUCUGCCUGGUAGUGGGGGAUAACGUCCGGAAACGGGCGCUAAUACCGCAUCCUAUCAGAUUAGCCGAGGUCGGUUUAGCUAGUUGGUGGGGUAAAGGCAUACCAAGGCGACGAUCCGUAACUGGUCUGAGAGGAUGAUCAGUCACACUGGAACUGAGACACGGUCCAGACUCCUACGGGAGGCAGCAGUGGGGAAUAUUGGACAAUGGGGGAAAGCCUGAUCCAGCCAUGCCGCGUGUGUGAUGAAGGUCUUCGGGUUGUAAAGCACUUUAAGUUGAGAGGCGUUACCAGCAGAAUAAGCACCGGCUAACUUCGUGCCAGCCGCCGCGGUAAUAC